rnacentral:rRNA from 1 species
CAAUAGCGUAUAUUAAAGUUGUUGCAGUUAAAAAGCUCGUAGUUGGAUUUCUGGUUGAAGCGACCGGUCGGGCGUUGAUUCGUCUGCACUGGAGUCGGUUUUGGCCAUCCUCUAGGAAAGUGCGUCUGGUAUUAAGUUGUCGGGCGUAUGAUCCUGGUCUUUUACUGUGAAAAAAUUAGAGUGUUUAAAGCAGGCCUUCGCCUUGAAUACAUUAGCAUGGAAUAAUAAGAUAGGACUUUGGUCUAUUUUGUUGGUUUGCAGACCGAAGUAAUGAUUAAUAGGGAUAGUUGGGGGUAUUUAUAUUCCGAUGUCAGAGGUGAAAUUCUUAGAUUUUCGGAAGAUAAACUUAUGCGAAAGCAUUUACCAAGGAUGUUUNCAUUA